UGAAGGCUCUGAAUGGGCGCAUCACAGCAUUGGAAAGUCUGAAGGAGGUAGAACCUGCCAAAACAGCGGAGGGAUCUGAGUAGAUAAUAUGGCGUUGCCUUUUGAGUGACAAGGUGAAUUAUAGCAUCUCCAAGGCAUUUGGGCGAGGAGAGCUCCUUUUCUUUUUUCCUUUCCACACUUGAGAUGGAUGUGUUUCUUUCACUGUUUUUUCAUGGUCAAUAAAUCAAAUCAGAGAGGGCGGAACUGAUGUGCUUGGGCUGAUGAUGAACUAUGCAAUGGUGGUGGCUUGAUUGCUUAACCAAAGGUUCAUUUAGUAUUCAAGGCUUAUCUGCUCUGUAUCAAGCAAUGAAAUUGUUUUACAUCACAAAGUUUUCUUUCAUUGCAAAA